rnacentral:lncRNA from 1 species
UACUGAUUUGUACUAUUGUUGCCCGGAACAGGGCGGGCACAUCAUAAAGGUCAAUUGAGUUGUGUAGAUGUGUUUGUUGUCUUAGAAAUCCAUCAGGUGCUCCCAAAGAAGCAACCUGAUUCUGUUGGUAUACUUCGUUACUUUGGAGAGUCCUGCCAACAAGACGGACCUUGUAUAUGAAGUAUGUCUGUAUGCACAUUGUACUCCUUCAAAUAUACAAGAAUACCAUAUGUGAACUUCUUUUUUAGGGCUCCUUUGAUUCAAAGGAAUUCCGUGGGAUUUUUGGAGGGUUAGAAUCCUUAGGAUUUUUUCCUAUGUUUGUCGUUUGAUUCAUAGGAUUUAAUCCUAUAGAAUUUUUUCCUAUGGAAUCAAGUGUACUACAUUUUAUUGGAAAUCUAGCAUCCACUCCAACCUCUUUUUUCAAUUCCUUUAUAUCUCAUGUAGCAUCAAACACUCGAUGCUAAUCCUAUAGGAUUCAAGUGGACAUGCCACUCAAAUCCUAUAUUUUUCCUAUUCCCGUGUUUUGAAAAUCCUGCAAAUCAAAGAUGGCCUUAGCUUGCAUGUUUUUCAUGUCCAUUUAUUGCCUCCGAAGCUAUUCCGUUUUAAAAAUUAAAGAUCCAUAUGAUAUGUGGAAUGUUCUUUCUGCGAAUGGACCUGUUAGGAUCCUGUUUGGAAGGCGGGUAUAUUUCUUGAUUCAUGAGGAAAUUGAAUUGUUCCUUGUGAAAUUCCGGUGAAAUUCUUGCCUCCAGACAGGGCCUCGGUGUGGUGAUGUUGUUACUUGUGCCGGGAAGUUGAUGGAAAUGUACUUGCCGCCAGGCAUAUAGGAUGUAUUCAUGCAGAAAUUUUGGCCAUAUGUUUCUCCUUACCUUUGCAGUAAUUAUUUGCGUUGCCUCUGUUGUGUGCUGCUCAAGAUAAUCCAAGCAAAUCCGAUUUCUCUUUUUUUUUUCGAGAAAUAUCGCGCCUUAUUGAUCAAGAGACUGCGACAUUCGACAUACAAAUUACAGAAUUAGUACUGUACAUGACUAAAGCGAACCGACUCUCUGGUUUGGUCGAGUCCAGUGUGCUUUUGCGAGCGUCAGAUCUGAAACAUAGGGCCCAGAUCAACCAAGUUCCACACCGUGCGUUGCGCCCCGAGUCCAGUCCUCCCGGCGCCGCCGCCUCUGCGCGCUUUGGGCAGGAGGCUGACGCCACCACUGCCGGAGACCUCGCACCCCUUCGGACCCGAGGAGUCAGGUUCUUUACUCUCUAGAGUGAUGGAUUCUUCAGAAAUUCCGCCCUCUGACCUCAGAGAAGAGCAGCCGCCGGCGCCGGCGUCCCUGCCGCUGCCGGCGGCCUUUCUCGAGUUCCUCGGCGAUAAUGGCCUGGACCCCGCGCUGUACUCCAAGGCGGACACCAUCCCGCGCUACAUCAGGUGAGGCAAGCCUUCACACUCGCCAAGGUUGCCAUCCACUAGCAAUUCGUCACAUGAAGGGUGCAAAGGAGAGGAGAGUAACCUGACUUGUUUCCGACAUCCCUAGGUUAAAACCAGGCACGGAGUCCAGUGUGGUGACAGAGAUCGAAAGCGAGCUCAAGUGUGAUCUCGUGAAGGUCUCGUGGCUGCCAGACUUCUAUGCGAUCCCGCCUGAAAUUCAGAUUGCUGGAUCCAAGGCUUAUCAGCAAGGGAAGGUGAGGAGGAACUUUUGUUACGAUUGUUUUGAAGCUGACCCAUGUUGCUCAGCGUAGUCUAAUUGUAUGCGACUCUAUGAUGUUAAUGUGCUUAUUAUUAGAUUUUUGUCAAGUGUACUGAGGCAAUUUAUUUAUCCUAGAUAGCAAUCGAAUAACAUUUAUGUUCUAUUGUUUACUAAGAGACCAAAUGCCUCAAACCGGUAACAGUUAGGUGAUGCCAUGAUGGUACAAGUUAAGCUGAAGCUGUUCAAUCUCAUUGUACUUUUGUGGUUGACACCUGAUUUGUAACGGAUUCUCUCAUAAAGCCAAGUGACACACUUGUUGUUAAUUGUACUCCCCCCGUUCCUCAAUAUAAGUCUUUUUAGAGAUUCCAAUAUAGACCACAUACGGAGCAAAAUGAGUGAAUUUACACUCUAAAGUAUGUCUAUAUACAUCCGUAUGUAGUCCAUAUUGAAAUCUCUAGAAAGACUUAUACUCCCUCCGUUCCUAAAUAUUUGUCUUUUUAGAGAUUUCAAAUGGACAACCACAUACGGAUGUAUAUAGACAUAUUUUAGAGCGUAGAUUCACUCAUUUUGCUCCGUAUGUAGUCACUUGUUGAAAUCUUUAGAAAGAUAAAUAUUUAGAACAGAGGGAGUGUUUAGGAACAGAGGGAGUAGGAGAAGCUGAAAUUUCCCAGUAAAAAGCUACCGUGUUGUCAUGUUCUUAUCAUGCACUCUUCUGUGCGUGACAUUUUGCUUCACCUAAGCAUCUUUAAAAACAUUUCAGAUCUAUGGGAUUGAUGCAGCUUCUGGAGCUGCCAUCUUAGCACUCGAUGUUCAACCAGGAGACCAUGUUCUUGACCUCUGUGCUGCACCAGGUAACUUAAUAUACUUCAAGUACACACUGGACCAAUGUUUUCUUAGAGCCAGUGUCUACCCUACAAUCAUAAAGGAGCACCCCUACCGAAUAUUUGUGUGGGCGGCAUGCAUUCACCAAUAUGGCAAGACCUAGUUUUCUCAAGGGCAUAAAAACAUGGAAAGCCUUUCCUGAUUGUUGAUCUUUAGAUAUCAUACAAAAUACAGUUUCAAGUAUGGCAGGUAUGUUGCAUUUAGGAGAGUGGGGUUUUACAUUCCUGUUGUUUGAUGGACCGGUUCGGUGUCUAGUUUGGUUCAUAUGUUGAAUUUUAUUCUCCGACAUGUCCAAUAUAGUAGUGUUAGUUCAACACAUAUUUCCCCAUCCUUGUGAUGAUAUUGUUUAGUUUGUUAUAAGGGAUUUGUUUGCUAUGGAUCCUGUAGCUUGUGUUAGACCUCUGCUAUCUGUUGGAUUUUUAUUCAGGGAUAUACUAACCUUUCAUCUAUAUGACAUGCAAGGUGCAAAGCUUUGCAUGCUUGCAGAUAUGCUUGGUAGCACAGGUUCUUUGACUGGUGUUGAUGUUGCAAAGCACCGUCUUGCAGCCUGUCGUACGAUGUUGCAGAAGUAUUCUCUUGGAGAUCGUAGUCGGCUCUUUGUUGCUGAUGGGACUUUGUUUUCCAUAUUGCCUGUGAACUCCAAUCUGGGGAGCAUGGAAGGUAUUUUCAGCAGAAGAAUCCAGUCCCGUUUUUGUUUUACUUCUUCUGCACGUAUGAAUGAUUUAGCUUGUUUUGAGUUCAUGCUCUUUGUCACAGCUUUUGUUGGAAUUGAGGAUAAUGGAAGCAUAUUCUCAGAAUGGACUUCAAAGAGAUCAUGGAAAGACAGACAGAAGUCUAAAAAGGCAAAAGCAGCCGGUUCACCUCAUCUACCAUCAACUUCCGAACCUGAACUGAUAUACUAUGGCAAAGAUUCAGGAUUAAUUGGAUUGCAAAAACGUUAUGUUCUUCACCCAUCAACUGAUGCUGCUGCCUGUACAUCUGGGUAUGAUAAGGUAUUCCUUUGCUUGUGUUAUUUUGUAAACUGCUAGUGUUAUCGUUUACUGAACUACACAAGUACUCUUGUGACUUUGAUUAGUAAAAAGAAGAAGUGGAAAUAUGCAUGAUCUACGUUGCUGCCAUUGAUUUUUUAAGCCAUCAUAGCCAACUCCACAUGUAGCUGCAAAUCAGACUGUCAAUUAGCUCUAAAAAGUGUACCUUUCACUCAUUCUGUUUGAGGACGAGGGAACACUUUUCACCUUCUGAAAGAGUACUGAAGCACUUUAUAGAACUCUAUCAGAUGCAGCUUAUGUUUGAGGUUGGAAUAUUCUACUGCAACUUAUUCGGCAACUUGUAUCAUCUCAUUUGUCCCUUUGGAUGAAAUGCAUGCAGGUCCUAGUGGAUGCAGAAUGUACUCAUGAUGGAUCGAUAAAACACAUUCAGAAGUUUGAGUUCUGGGGAUGGAAAACAUUAGACCGCCGUGUACUCAACGUAGAAAGAACUGGCAACCUACUUCAUCUUCAGGUACUACUUCGUUCUUGAUGUUUGCUUGAAUGGCUCUUGACCGAGCAAUCUGUAUCCAACAAUUAGCUACUCCCUCCGUCCCAAAAUAAGUGUCGCUGAUUUAGUACAAAGUUAGUUGUACUAGAUCAGCGACACUUAUUUACUAAAUCAGCGACACAUAUUUUGGGACGCGGGGAGUAGAUGAGAAGCUUAUGUUUGAUAUUUACUGAACUUUGAUGAUCUUAUGCAGUUAGGGCUUCUCACAAAUGGUUUUAAAUUAUUGAAAACAGGCGGAUCACUUGUCUAUAGUACUUGCAGGUGCGUAUCUCUUCACAUGCAAAUCUAGUCCUCAAUUGCGUCUCAGUAGUCUAGCCUUUACCGUGCUUAGAAUUUCAGUACAGUUUAUAGUUCAUGCCAUCACAUGACUAACAGUUUGUCUUGGAAUAGCUUGACUGUUGCACAAAACGAGAAUGUGGUUCAGCAAUUCCUCUCAAAAUAUCCUUCAGCAGGUACAGAUGUCCUGCUACCUGCCUUCAUCUAAUAUUUAUGUUGAUUAUCACUUCUAUAAAUGGAUUGUUUCAUGUUGGGCCUGCAACCUGCAGAACUGCUAAAGAUCGAUCCAGCCGAUAGUUGGCCCUGCAGAAGCGGCGACAUCCAGAAAACCUUGCGAUUCGACCCCGCGGCGUCGCAAACUAGUGGACUUUUCGUCGCCAAGUUUGUCAAGUUGUGAUGUUCCUUGUCAGAUGCUCACAUCUUACGUAUAAGAUAACUGUGAGCCAUCCCACCCAUCAGAUGUAUUUUUUGCUAGGUUUUACUCUAGUUCUUUAAACAACAGGUGAUCAGAGGCUGCUUGUUGUUUGUUUACUCUAAUUUGAAGUAGACUUCUUGGUUAAGCCUCGUUGGCUUUAGGCGUGUAGAAAGAGUUGUUGGGAAAUAGUACUCCCGUUGUUCACAAAUAUCCAUAAGAUGUUCAAACUUUUUUGUGAAUCUAAUGUAUAUAGACACGUUUUAGUGUGUUUGUUGACUCAUUUCAGUCAGCCUGUACGAAGUUCAUGUUGAAAUAUCCAAAACAUCUUAUAUUUGUGAACUGAGGGAGUAGUCUUGUUUGUGGCCUGCACAAAAAAUAUGUUCGCACUACCACAGAAUAUAGCAAUUACUAAGCGUCCCUGCCGGCAGCGCCCUGAGGUGCUCACGCCUACGCAGUUCGGCGGGUGGCGCGUACCCGACGCAAGGGUGCAGGCUGGCGUCCACGUCGCCGCCGGUCACCGUGCCGUGGGCCACCACAGCCGCUGGCCUUCAUCUUUCUAUAGCUACCGCUUGCUUGUGGAUUAUCGUGGUUUCUCCUCGCUAGGAUUUGGAAAUUAUCUUGUCCAACAAAAGUGAAGAUCUUUAUUUGGCGUACCUUACAUGGAAUCCUCCCUUAUCGUGUUACACUUGCUAAUAGACAUAUGAAAAUUUCACCCAUCUGCCCAUUAUGUUCGAACGGGCAUGAAGAUACUAAACACUUAUUAUUUUUAUGUUAAAAGGCAAAAGAGGUGUGGGAGAAACUAGGAUUGCACGAAGUCAUUAAAAAAGCCUGUGCGGUCGAUCGUGCGGGAGAGGCAGUACUUGAAUUUCUAAUUUUUAUGCCAGAACAUGAGCUAUCUACAAUGGGCACACAGAAUGUUCGCGAACUGAUCGCUAUAACAGCCUGGUAUUUAUGGUGGGAAAGACGUUCGCUAGUUCAUGAGCGGAAGACCCAAGAUGCAUACCAAAUUUUGAUGAGAGCCCGUGCUAUAACGACGAACUAUGUUAUUGCCCAAUCUUCCAAGGGAACAAAUAAAAUAGAGGGAUGGACGAGACCCCCUCUAGGUUUUGUAAAAUUAAAUGUCGAUGCUUCUUUCGAUCAAGACAUGCUUAGAGGCACAACGGGAGCUGUACUUAGAGAUGAUAAAGGAAGAUUUAUUGUUGGAGGGAAUUGGAAGAUGGAUUGGUGUGCAGAUAUUUUAACAGCAGAAGCCAUGGCACUACGUUUUGGCUUAUUACUUGCACAAAAGGCGGGAAGUAACCGACUUGUUGUUAACUCCGCAAUAUGGAAGUAAUUGACACGAUGAAGAAUGGAGGACAUACAGCGGGAGCGGCGGCAGCUGUGUUUGAUGGUUGUUAUUUUUUGGCUUGUGAUUUUUCGUUAGUUAGAUUUGAACACUAUAAUAAAAAGGCAAAUAAAGUAGCUUAUGAAGUUGCUAGAGUAGUCAAAUUUUCUGAGACAAGGGAUUGGUUUGAGGAACCUAUGAACGAUAUUGUAAUUUUUUUAUAGACGAUGUAACCAUUAUUACUAAUAAAUAAAGAGGAUGUUUUAUUUUAAAAAAAAAGGACUGGAGCUUGUGAUCAUGGAGCUAUACUGCUAUAGUGGUUUCUGCAUUUUAUGGCGUGGGAGUACAUAGUGAUCGAUGGAUGAAGGGGCGUGCUACGCAUCGCCGGGUGAUCUGCCGCAUCGACCGGCCGAGCACGUCUUCACCAUUGCAAUACGGGUCUUGUUGCAGAUUUUUUUUGGCAACAACUGUUUUGUUGCAAAAACAUUUUUGCAACUGAGGUUUUGUUGUAAUUUUUUUUUCAAACGAGAUCUUGUUGUAGAAAAUUUUCAUGAGACGUUUUGUUAUAAAACAUAAAUCCAUCGUAGACCAUUGCAACACCACUUAUGUUUCAGAAGCAUAGCUCCUAUUGCAUGAAGGAUGGUACGUUGACCCUCGCUUGAUGCAUGUCAUCCAGGGAAGGUGGCGGCCGCGGCCGCUGCGAUCCGCCGGUUGAUAGGAAGCGUUUCCCAUGGAUGAAGCCCACGACAACUUCUGCAUCAGAAGAUGAUUGUUUCUUAGCCUGCAGCGCCCAUUUUGUCAUGGUUGCUCGCCUCAAUGGUUCAGUGCAUUAGUAAGAUAAGUGCAUGCAUCUACUACAAAGCUACUAUCUCUGGUCAUGCAUGAACAAGAUCGAAUUAGUUACACAUAUGAACGCAAGAUCCAGAGUGGAGACAGUGAAUGAUCUGGAAAUGAUUCGAUUCAUAUUGUUCUGCAUUGAAAUAUCUCAGAUUACAUGUAUGUAUCAAUGUAUGUAUGUAUGUAUGUAUUCUUUAACCAUUCUUGUGGUAACAUCCCUGCAUGUUUUGCUCGAGCUUACUCAUGCCAUGGCUAGGACAGGAGCCGUACAUCUGCGGCGGCAGGCGCGGCUGAGCGGCGGCGAUGAGCGGCUUGGCCUUGGGCAUGGUCAUCCCGUAGACCUCGUCGGUGUCGAUGUCCUCUGGGCGGAGGCCGUCGGGCGGGGACCAGUCGAAGCAGUGGAAGAGCCUGGCGAGCGCCAUGAGCACCAGGAUCACGCCCAGCGGCGCCCCGGGGCACUUGCGCUUCCCGGCGCUGAAGGGCAGGAUCUUGAAGUCGGGCAGGUGGCUGAUCUCCACGCGCCCGCCGUCGGCCGGGAGGUGCCUCUCGGGGCGGAACUCGUCGACGUCGUCCCAGAUGCGCGGGUUCCGGCCCAGCGCGUGGGUGUUGAUGAAGAUCCUCGUCUGCGCCGGGAUGUCGUAGCCCAUGAUCGUCGUCGCCUUGAGGGACUCGUGCGGGAUCAGGAACGGCCCGGCCGGGUGCAUCCGGAAGGACUCCCGGACGACGCAGCGGAGGUACGUCAGGUGGGGGAGGUCCGACUCCACCACCAUGCGGCUUCGUCCGACGAUGGCGUCGAGCUCCUCCUGGAUCUUGCAGAGGACGCGGGGGUUCUUGAUCACCUCGGCCAUCACCCACUCGUUGGUCACUGAUGAAGUAUCCGUAGCAGCAGCGAUCAUGUCCUGCGUAUACACACAUUCAGAAUGAUCAUGUAUGCAUGUUCAUAUGCACUUUCUCUUUUAACAGCAGCAGCAGUGUUCAUUUGUAAUACCAAACAUCUACAAACCUAAAUGAAGAUGAUCUACAAACAAAAUAACAUGGUGGUUUAUUUAAUGCAAGCAAGAACAACUACUCGUACUUAUGAUAACAAAACCCAAACUUCUGGGGGAAAGAGCAAAUUACAAACUCUGCUGUGAAAUCAAACAGUGAACUCCCUACUCUCUUUUUACCAUCUAUCUACUCUAUUUAUCAAAUUCUCAAAGGGAGGAGUGUCGCAAAAUAACUUUUUGGUAGUCAGCUCUUUAAUAAAAAGAUAAUUGCACAACAACUAUGAAGCGAAAUCAAUUUCAUGACUAACACAUGCAAUGGUGACAGAGCACAAACAUAGUUGGUUAAAAGACCAAGCUAGCAUAAAGAAAAUGAACUGGAGGGUCUGUAACAGUAAGGAUACCUGCAUUAAGGCUUUGAUCUCCACAUCAUCCAUGUGGUCAUUCCCAUUCUCACCAGGCAAGGAAAGCAGCACAUCAACAAAGUCCAUGUCUUCUUUGCUAUCAUCACCAUCAUCAUCAAGGGAUGCACCACUCUUCCUGCCAUCCCUUGCCUUCCUGUGCUCAUCAAUUAUCUUCUGGUGAAAAUCAUCCACCUUCUUCUCAACCUCUCUCAUCUUCUUCUCGCAACCAUAUGGAUCAAUCCACCUCCAGGCAGGCAAGUAAUCCCCAAGAUAGAUCAGGCCCAGCAGAAAGAACAGCUCAUGGGUGAUGUGCAUGAACUCCAUCGCUUCACCAGGGCCUGCUGACUGCAGCCCAAAGUACUGCUUUCCAAGUAACAUUCUCGUCACAUUGUUCAUCGAGAAUGCCCCGAGAACCUCUCUGAGAUUCACAGGCUUACCUGACUGGGAUUUAGCCCAUACAAACUCACAGAGGUGCUCAGCUUCCUCAGCUCGGUGAGCAGCAAAAGAUUCAAGCCGCCUGGUGGUAAGCAGGUGCUCCAUGCAAACCCUCCUCAUCCUCUUCCAGUUUGGCCCCAGUGGAGCAAGAGCCACAUCGCCACAGCCAUAGGCAAGGUGGACAGCAGCCAAUGUCCGAGGCCGUGAAGCGAAGACCUCGUCUUGCCGGAUAAGUAUUUCACGGAUGACUUCAGGGUCAUCGGUGGUGAUGGCAUCAAUGGUUCCAAGACGAAGAUAGACAAGGGGGCCAUACUUGGUGCAAAAUCGAGCAAAGUCCUUGUGAGGAAGAGGACUCAACUGGAGAAGGUUCCCAAAGAUUGGCCAUCUUGGAGGUCCCGGUGGAAGCCUUAGCCUCAUCCCAUUGAGUUUUUUCCAAGACACUGCAGCAAAGAUGCAUGAGCAUAAGAUGAUGGAAAGAAGAAAUGGAUCCAUAGGUCACAAGCUAAUGGCAAUUAUAGCCGAAUUGCAAAUGUUGUUCUAUUUAUGGGAUCCCGUCAAGCUUGCUUAUGAAAGAAACUUAAGUGAUGAAGUUGAAGCGAAUUGGUUAGAGUAUUAGACUGGUCAUGAUUCUUGUGCUCUUCUGUAUGGUUAAACAUCUCACCUAACAUCUUAUAACAAAUGUCAUGAUCUUGACAUGACUAAGGGAGUGAUGCAAAAACUGAAAAAUGCCUGGGGAUAUAUAGAAAAGAACCAGGAUAAAAUAAAGGCCAUCAAACCUGACCACAGAUCAUGUAUUCACAAAAUAUAUAGCUCUUCCCCACUGCUAUCCAGCAACUCACUCGGCACAAAUUCUAUUUCUACAAAACCAUUUUUUUAUUGAAUCAGGCACAAACGGUGGACCGCCAUCUAGGAGUUAGGUUAUAGUUUUGAUAACAGGUGUUCUGCAUCUGCCUAUCAUUACGAAGGCAUAAUAUAUUUAGCAUGCAAAUCUUACUCCAACAUCUACCACAUUGAUAAUAUACAAAGAGAGAAAAAUCCUAAAUCUGUUGUAGAUAACAUGGAGAAAUACAUCCUUAUUCCUUCUCAAAUGCCACAUCUAACUCCCUGCUGUACAGCAAUGUUCCAUGUGUGCUUGUUCUCCCUUCUCCCCGUAAGUCUAUCUUAAGAGUAAGAAACUUAUAUUGCUGAAAGAAAAGAUUAAUAAGAAACAAACCACUAAACUUACCUUGGCCAUGGUUGUCUCCUUAGAAUCAGCCUUAUGCUUCAGUGCUUCACUCGGUGCAGAACAUACUCCUGUAUCAAUUGAGAACAUGGCCAAGAGUUCCUUGUUCUUUGGCUCUUCUCUGUAGCAGAGGAGUUGUGUGCAUAGAAUCCUCAACUUUUCCAUUGCAUUAAAACAGGGACUGCACAUGAUCAUGCGAGCUCUUUCUGAAAUCAUCUACCAAUUUUCUUGUCUCAACAUGAUCAAUAAAAUCAACACCAACUCUCGGCAUUACAACAGUUGUGGUAUGAAUUUUAUUAUUUUGGGUUUUGGCUUGCCAGUUAUCUAGAACUACAAGUCUAGAAGUGUUCACUAUGUAUUCUGUUUUCUGCAGCCUUAUCCUGUAUAAUAAGGCUAUAGCCAGGGGUUUUACUGGCCAUGUUGGACAACUGUAGAACUUUUAGCAUGUCUCUGUCAUCCUUCAUCCCCGCAGAUGAGAGCAUAUUUGACAGGACGGUAUAAGCUGCUGCGUCAUAAGGAUCCAACUCAAGAAGCUUCUGUGCUGCUAUUUUUGCAUAAGCAAGAUUAGAAUGGAGACUACUAGCACUGAGCAAAGCUGCCCAUGCAUCAGAAUGAUCAUUCUGGGGCAUCGACUUAAUCAUUUCCAGUGCUUCGGCAAGGAGGCCAGCACGACCUAAAAGAUCAACCAUACAUGUAUAAUGGUCAGGGUUUGGUUCAAUGCCAUAGACUGAUCUCAUUGACUCAAAGUAGUUGUAACCUUCUUGAACCAGACCAGCACGUGCACAGCCAGUCAGAAUUCCCACGAAUGUCGCAUGGUUAGGCUUGUGGCCAUCAAUUUGCAUUUUGGUAAAAAGCUUGAAUGCAUCUUCAGCAAAAUUAUGUUGCGCAAAUGCUGUAAUCAUAGAAUUAGUAGCAAUAAGACUUGGACUGCUAAUGGCUGAGAAAACGCGAUAAGCCUCAGCCAACCUUCCGCAUUUUGCGUACAUUGAUACCAGAGAAGUGUGAACAGAAGAGUCAAAUACCCAUCCCAUGUUGAUUGCAUAUGCAUGAGCUUGCAUUCCUUGAUUCAACGUUGUCAAGCUAGCCAAAGCACUGAGUAGACAACUAAAAGCUACUGUAUUAGGUUUGCACCCUUCUCGUGCCAUGCGACAAAACCACCGCACUGCACUUAAAUAGUCUCCAUUUGUAGCAAGACUAGAAAUGACUGCAGUCCAAGCAACCUCAUCUUUUCCUGGCAUUUGCUCAAACAGGUCAACAGACUCCCUCAUCCAACCCCUGUUAGCGAACCCAACAACCAUCGACGUCCAAGAAACAGCAUCCUUCUCAGGCAUUAACUUGAACAGGACAUGUGCUUCUUGAACCAAGUUAUGCUGAACAUAGCCUGUGAUCAACGAGUUCCAUGAUACUAUGUCUUUCCACUUCAUGCAAGCAAAUGCCCUUCUAGCAUCAACCAUCCAACCAAACCGGGAAUACAGGAUGAUUAUUGAAUCGCCCAAGAAAACAUCCAUUUCAAAACCCAUUGCUACAAUCAAACUGUGAAUCUGAACUCCUUCUCUGACAAGGCAAGCCUCAGCACAAGCAUCUAGCACAACUGAGAGUGUCGUUGUAUUAACCUGAACACCUGCCCUUCUCAUGUCCAGGAACAGCAACAGAGCAUCUCUGUACAUCCUAAGUUUCACAUAUCCACGAAUCAUCGAGGUCCACGACACAACAUUCCGCUCUGGCAUGGUCUCAAACACCUUCCUCGCCUCCGACACGCUUCCGUGUUUGCAGAGCCCAUCGACCACCACGCUCCAGGAUAUGACAUCCCUCACCGCCAUUCCGUCAAACACCCUCAACGCCAUGCCAAGCUUCCCAGCCCUCAAGUACCCGGCCAUCAGCGCAUUUGACCCUACUGGGUCACGCCACUGAUGUGGCAUCUCCGCAUACACAGCCUCAGCUUCACGAAGCAUCCCUGCCCUGGCGAGCCCCGUGAUCAUGGCGCCAUAGGACACCGCGUUCCUGACCGGCAUCUUGGAGAAGAGCGCGUGAGCGGCGGCUGGUUGCCCCAAGCGGAGGUAGACGGAGAGCAGGGCGUUCCAGGAGGGGGCGUUGCGGCGGGGCAUGUCGUCGAAGACGAGGCGCGCGGAGGCGAGGUCGCCGUUGUCGGCGUAGGCGGUGAGGAGAGCGGUCCAGGAGAUGACGUCCCGGCGGGGCAUUUGGUCGAACAGCUGCUGGGCGUCGCGGAGGCGGCCGCGGCGGCCGUACGACGUGAGCAGCGCAUUGAGGUGGGCCGUGUUGGGGCGGCGCGGCGGGGGCUCCUCCUCCGGGAGUGCGUACUGACGGGGCACCACGGUGAGAGUGGCGGUGGCCGGAGCUCUCGGCAAUCGCAGUCGCAACGCGGCCGUUGUCAUUGAAUGAAACCACUGUAUGUGCCAGUGGGGGCAUGAACACCGGCUACGACAGGAGAAGGGAUAACAAUUCUACAUAUGAGCCCAUUUGGUCGAAGAGUUAACAAUUCGACAUUUUUCAGGAGGUAAUAGCACUGCAGUGCCUGAACUUGUAUGUCAGGUGAUGAUUUGGUCUUUGAAGUUGAAAAAGUGGAUUAUUUAGUCCCUGAACUUGUCAUGGAUAUGCAAAUUUAGUCCAGGGUCAAUCAGAACUGGCCAAGUGGAUGCCAAGUGGCCCGGCUGGUCAGCGCGCUGCAUUUUUCACUUAGCCCCCUUCCUUUGUGACGAAUCAACCCGCACUACUCCUCUUCCUCGUCGAAGCAAAAAACACAUGAAUUUAUUGUGUCCCCUCCCCAUCCCAAUCAUUCAUCCACUUGGCGUCUGUCUUGCUCGGGCCGAUCGCGUGCGGCGGGAGCUGGCUGACGUCAGCUACAAUGGCGGUGGCGCCGCCGGAGUACACCGGCGGUGUCGUCCCUCCUCCGACCACGCAGCAAGUCCGCCCGCACGGCGUCUUUCCUCCCGACUAUGGUGUGUCGUCCCCUUUCUGCUCUGUUCCUCCCCCUCCUCCUCUGGUUUGAUCGUCCUGCUGUGUCGUCCACAGCACUGGCGGAUCACCCCCUUUGGGUAGCGUUGCGGGUAUUUACGGUGGAUUUCUAUGUCUGUACAGCCUCCGGCGCUGCGAAGCUGGUUAUUGUGGUGGUAGUUGAUUUCAGGCUAGGGUUUAGGCUUUGAAAUUUGGGAUUUUGCCAAGAAGCUAGGGUUCUUGUGUUUCAUGUUCUUUGGGGCACAAUGUACUGUUUUGAGUAGUUAACCUUGACCAGCAGGGCACAUGGGUGCGCAAUUUGUUUUGGUUGUAGGGUUGACAUUGACCAGCAGGGCCCAUGUUUGUACUUCUAAAAAUAUGAAAUUUCUAGUUGUAGUGCUGCUGUUUAUCAGAUACUCUGCAGUUUAGCAGUGCCACUACAUCAUUAGAAUGCUUUCUUCUAGUUUUAUCUUGCUAGAUCAGUUAUCUGAAUGUAGUGAGUUAACUGAAUUUAGUCAGUUAACUGAAUUUAGUCAGUUUACUGUAUACUAUUGUUGAUUGUGGUUGGUUGAGUUUGGUUGAAGAUUGUGCUUACCCUGUUCUUGCAAAAAGAAUGCAUCAGUGAAUUUACUCCGUGAACUUGCAGCAUGCAGUUAACUGAAAAAAUUCAGUCAACUUGCUGCUUGGAGUUAACUAGCAGGUUACACAAUUUUUUGUAUGAAUUUAUUAAGUUGAGUUGCAGUUACUUUAGUGUUCAGUUACCUACUUAGAGGUUGUUUGAGGAUGGUUUUGCUUACAUUAUGCACUUUGUUGCUGCAGUUUGUGAUUCAACCAUGGGACAGAUUGUGGACACCCCUUUCUUUACACUGGAACUUGAGCAUGGUGGGCUUUUCUGUGGACCAAGAAAUAACAUGGAGUACUAUAAUCCUUCUGUGGAGGUGCUUGACUAUGUUGAUGCUGGCACAUUCUCAUAUUCAGUUAUUGAAGAGCAUUUGCUAUGGUUGGGAUACCAUGUGGCAUAUUGGUGCAUGCCUGACAAAAUAAUUUCAGAUGGUAUGUUGAGAAUUAGAGGUGAUGAGGAUGUGCAACACAUGAUCAGAGCUAGUAGUCAACAUAAGGUGCUUGCAAUAAUGGUUGACCAUGCAGAUUUCAUCAGUAAUUGCAGGGAAGAAUUGGUAUUGACAGUGCCAACAGUUCAUAGUUCUGUCAUAAUGGCCAGGUCAAAUGUUGUUGCAGUCAGUGCAGCAUCUUCUCAUAGCCUCAUUUCAGUCAAUGUUGAAGAUCCCAUUUCAGAGGUGGAAGCCGACAACUUGGUUGCUAAUGGAACUGGGACUUUGCUAACUGAUGGUGCAACAGCAGAUAACUUGCUGACAGAUGGUGGAGCAGCAGAGAAUGUGUUGUAUGAUGGUGCAGAGGAUGCAGUGCUCUCAGAUUCAGAGUUCAGUGAUAGUGAUUAUGACAUAGAUGAUGGAGAUGAUGAUUUAUAUGAAGACAACAUUGAUUUUGAUGUUGAUGAAGAAGCUGAGCAAGUUGAGGAAGAGGUGGAGCCAGAUUAUGUACUUGAGGAUGAAGAUCUAAACCUCUCUGGGUUUUUUUGAAACCUAUCUAAACCUCUCUGUUGAAGAGCAAGAGCAACUCAAAUACAAGUUCAAAGCUUUCAAUUCCAAGGUGGACAUGAAAUCCCCUAUAUUUAAAUUAGGGAUGGUAUUUGCUGAUGUGGUUGAGCUGAGGAAAGCUCUUAUUGCUUAUUCUAUAAGGAACAGAGUGCAAAUCAAGAAGGUCAAGAAUGAUAAAAUCAGAUUAGAGGUUGUUUGUCAGAGAGGUUGCCCAUGGCUGCUUAAAGCUAGCAAAGACAACAGGACUGGAGGAUUUGUCAUCAAGGCCUACUUUGGAGAGCAUGUCUGUCAGAAAAAGUGGAAGUUGAAGGAUUUGACAGCCAAGUUUCUGUGCCAGUUUUUCUUGGAUGAGUUCAGAGAUGACCAGAAGAUGUCACUUGGAACAUUUUCAAGGAAAAUUACUAAGGAAUUCAAUGUUACUCCUAACAGAUGGAAGCUUUUGCUAGGGCGAGAAAGCAAGCACUUAAUGAGAUUCAUGGUGAUGAGGAAGAGCAAUUCAGUAGGCUUUGGGACUAUGGACAAGAAUUGAGGACCAAAAACCCUGGGUCUACAUUUCUGUUAACAACUUCAGUGGUGAAAGAUACAAAAUUUCCAUUGGGCAGUAAAUGUUUGAAAACAUUGUACUGGUCAUAUGAUACAUGUAAGAGAGGAUGGCUAAAGGGCUGCAGGCCAAUCAUUUUCAUUGAUGGUUGUCACAUGAAAACAAGGUUCAAAGGAGUGCUACUUAGUGUUGUUGGUAUUGAUCCCAAUGACUGCAUAUUCCCAAUUGCAAUGGGAUGGGUGGAAGUUGAGUGCACGGGUUCAUGGGAGUGGUUUCUGACCACUCUCAGAGAUGAUCUCAACAUCACUAACACUGCCCCUUUCACAAUCAUGAGUGACAAACAGAAAGGUUUAAUAAAUGCAGUGCACAAAGUUUGGCCAGAUUCAGAACACAGGUUUUGUGUCAGACAUAUUUACCAGAAUUUUAAUGAGAAGCACAAAGGAGAGGUACUGAAGCAAGACUUGUGGGCAAUUGCAAGAUCUCCAAACAAAGUGAAGUGGAGAAAAAACUGUCAGAAAAUGGAUGACUACGGUGCAGCUGCUUUCCACUGGACUGAAAGACUAGAGUGGAAAACUUGGUGCAAAGCAUUCUUCAGUGAAUUCCCCAAAUGUGGCAUCCUGCUCAACAAUAACUCCGAGGUUUUCAAUAGGUAGUUUGGUGCUCACUUUCCUAAGUUGUUUUAAUUUUAACAUAUAGCUCAUCUGCACUGCUAAUUAUCGUAUCAUACUAACCUGUUUUCUUCCUAUCUUUAUGCAGCUACAUCCUUGAGGACAGAGAGAUGACAGUGUUUAGCAUGCUUGAGUACAUUUUCUAUAAGAUGAUGCACAGGAUUGUUAGCAAACAAAGUGAAGCUAAUGAAAAGUGGACAGGCCAGAGAAUAUGUCCCAAGAUCAAGAAGAAGUUAGAUAAGAACACAAAGUUUGCAGCUAACUGUCAUGUAACAGAAGCUGGCCAGCAAAUCUUCAGAGUUCAGUCUGGCAACAAUAGCUACACUGUGGAUCUCUGCUUGCACACUUGUGAUUGCAGGAGAUGGCAGUUAUCUGGAGUACCAUGUGGCCAUUGCAUAGCAUGUUGCAGGGAGGAGAGAAUUGACCCAGAGACACUGGUUCAUGACUGCUAUACUGUUCAAACAUAUCUCAAAGCUUAUGGAUACACUCUUUGUCACGCCCAAUAUGCGACCCUAUCCAAAAGGAACUCGAAGGUCCCACCAAGGAUAGACCCGCAUAUUGAAACGCUUUUGCAAGGUGGAUAUCAUUACAUCAACAUUACAUAAUUAGAUGGGGAUACAUACAUAAGGCAUACAAUGCCACACGAAUACAACAUCAUCUUACUUAAGAGCACCAUCCGACUACGGAUGAAACACAAACAGAAACUCAAAUGACAUCCACCCUCCUAGCCCAGGCUGCCGACCUGGAACCUAUCCCCUGAUCGAAGAAGCAGAAAAAGAACUCCAAAACAAGCAAACAUCGCUCUCACGUCAUGAUCAUCGCAUAACCUGUACCUGCAACUGUUGUUGUAGUAAUCUGUGAGCCACGAGGACUCAGCAAUCCCAUUACCAUGGGUAUCAAGACUAGCAAAGCUUAAAGGGAAAGGAAGGGGUAAAGUGGUGAGGUUGCAGCAGCGACUAAGCAUAUAUGGUGGCUAACAUACGCAAAUAAGAGCGAGAAGAGAGCAAAAGGAACGGUCGUGAAGCUAGCAAUGAUCAAGAAGUGAUCCUGAACUCCUACUUACGUCAAUCAUAACCCAAAAACUGUGUUCACUUCCCGGACUCCGCCGAAAAAAGACCAUCACGGCUACACACACGGUUGAUGCAUUUUAAUUCGGAUCUGGUGUCAAGUUAUCUACAACCGGACAUUAACAAAUUCCCAUCUGCCCAUAACCGCGGGCACGGCUUUCGAAAGUUUAAACCCUGCAGGGGUGUCCCAACUUAGCCCACGAUAAGCUCUCGCGAUCAACGAAGGAUAUACCUUCUCCCAGGAAGACCCGAUCAGACUCGGAAUCCCGGUUUACAAGACAUUUCGACAAUGGUAAAACAAGACCAGCAAAGCCGCCCGGAUGUGCCGACAAAUCCUGAUAGGAGCUGCACAUAUCUCGUUCUCAAGGCACACCGGAUUGUCCAAACUUUCGUAGGCCAACCCAGAGUUGCCCCUGGUGGCCACCGACGGUUGACAGGUUGGACCAACACUCACGACGAGCACUGGCCCGGGGGGGGGGGAUAAAAUAAAGAUGACCCUCGGGCUCCGGAAACCCAAGGGAAAAAGGGCUAGGUGAGGCAAAUGGUAAAACCAAGGUUGGGCCUUGCUGGAGGAGUUUUAUUCAAAGCGAACUGUCAAGGGGGUCCCAUAAAUCACCCAACCGCGUAAGGAAUGCAAAAUCCGGGAACAUAACACCGGUAUGACGGAAACUAGGGCGGCAAGAGUGGAACAAAACACCAGGCAUAAGGCCGAGUCUUCCACCCUUUACCAAGUAUAUAGAUGCAUUAAUUAAAUAAGAGAUAUUGUGAUAUCCCAACAUAAUCCUGUCCAUCAUGGGGCAAUCUUCAACUUCACCUGCAACUAACAACACUAUAAGAGGGGCUGAGCAGAGCGGUAACAUAGCCAAGCAAUGGUUUGCUAGGAAGGGUGAAAAGAUUAGAGGCUGACAUGGCAAUUGGGAGGCUUAAAGAGCAAACGAUAGGUAGCGCAGCAAAGCGAUAGAACGAAGCAACUAGCAUAGCAAUGAUAGAAGUGAGAUCCAGGGUAGCGGUCAUCUUGCCUGAAAUCCCGCUAGGAAGAAGAACGAGUCCAUGAAGAAGACGAACGAGAGUAGUCGAACGAAUCCUCACAAUCGCAACAUUACCGGAACUAAGAAGCAACACCGGAAAGAAACAAACAACACGGUAAACAACCAUCACAUAAACAUGGCAUGAUGCACAAUCAAGUAUGAUGCAUGUCCGGUUUAAUGAGGCAUGGCAUGGCAAAUGCAACCAAACAAUACUACAAGUUAAGUGGAGAUCAAUAUGCAACGAGUUGCAUAUUGACAAAACACCACAUUGACAUAUUUAGUUUAAUCUCGUUUAAGCUACCAAACAAUAUUAAAAGUUGUUAAACAUGGCAAGAGGUGAGGCAUAAUUAAACUACCUAUUUAGGCAAGUUUAAAUGAGGCCGGAAAUAACAAACAACAAUUCCGGAAAAUCCUCAUGUGCAUAUUUUAGAUUUGGUACUGUUCUGCCCUAAAACAUAUUUUAGAGUUGUUAAACAGGAAAAUAAAGUGCACCAUGUUAAACUAGGCAUUUUUCCACCCCAUUUACAUAUAAAGAACAUUUAAUUCCGAGCUACGGUUAUUUAGUUAUGAAAUAAAUCAUUUUAAUAUGGCAUAUUAGCAAAUUUAAACAAACAGCAAGUUAAACAUAUUUAACAUGGAUGAAAGUGGCAAAUCAUUAAUCUACACAAAAUUCUAAGCAUUUUACAUGUUUGAAUCAUUUUAAUUCGAUGCAUGAUUAAUGAGUUAUUAAUGCAUGAACUCUAGGGGGUUUUCUGCAAAACAGGUUUCCUGUGGAUAAUGCUAAAAUCGCAGACGGGGAAAAAACAUGCAUGGGCCGAAUCUGAUUAGCCCAAUAGUGUACAGGAGAGGGGCUGGAGGGGCGCUCACCCAUGGGCCUUAGCAGGCCGGUCGGUUUGGAGAGGUGGAAGGGGGGCGCUGGGCCUGCUGGAUCUGGCGAGGCUAGGCCUUGGCGCGGAGGCAGGUGGGUCAACGCAGGCGGCUCGAGCAGAACUUGGCACUGGUCGUCGUCCUUGCCUGCUCGCACGCAGAAGCAGGGGAACGGCGCACCGACGCGACAUCGGCAAGGCAGCAGCGGAGGGCGGGACUGGCCGGCGAUGAGGAACUGCGAUGAGGAUCCGGCGCGGGCUCGGGUUCCAGUGGCCGGAUCCGGAGGGGUCGGCGAGGUGGAGGAAGGCGAGGCGCGGACGGACUUGGCGCUCGAGACGGACAGGAGGGCGCCGUCCUCGUCAGGAACCGUUGAAGACGACGGCGACAGGGACUGCGGCAGGCGAUCGGCGCAGUUUGGGCGGCGGAGCUCGUCGCGGAGGGGCGGCGCGGCGGCCGUGGUGGUCAACGCGCAGGGGCGGGAUGAGGCGCGAGCGAGGCUCUCGUCGAGGUCCUCCGGGAAGCAGAGCAGCAUCGCGACGCAGAGCAGGGAGGAGCUCGGGCGACAGGGACAGCUUCGGCUGAUGGUUCUCUGAUGGAAAAAGGAAACAAGAUGGAGAUGUGAGAGGGAGAAGAGAGAAGCAGGAAGGAAGGGGCGGCGCAGGGCUUAUCUGCUGGUGGUGGUUGCCGGCGGCGAGGUUCGCCGGGGUAGCGGGGUCGCAAGGUUGGAGGAGCUCGGACCUCAGAAGCUCUCCACGAGGCUGGAUCGAGAGCGGCUGGUUGUGCGUGGGUUGGGUGGAUGGAUCGAUGGGAGAAGGUGGUAGGGGAGAUCGAGGAAGAAGGAGGCAGCGGCUGAUUGGAGCGAAGGGGAUCUGGAUCGGGCUCUGGUUGGUGACGCUGAAAACGAGGGAGGGAGAGAGGCUGGCUGCGGGCUUGGAUCCCCAUGAAGAGAGUGGCGGCGGCGGGUGAGGGAAUUUUGGUGGAUGGGACAGACUAGGAUCUAGGGUUAGGCAAAAUAUAUAGCAAGUGGGUUUUGGGUUAGGGGUAUUAGGUCCCUCCGAUCUUAAUUGGACGGUCCCGGAUAAAUAGGCUAGCGAGACCAAAUAAGAAAACAGAGAUGUUUUCGGGAUGUUUGGGGAUGAUCUGGAUCCAACGGUGACGACUGCUCGGGUCGGGUUCGGGGGAGUUCCGGACGCGCGCGCGAGGGGGCUGCGAGCUGGCAAGAGAGGUUAGGUGGUCACGGUCAAGAGGGAAGCAAAAACCCGAUUGGUCUGGAACGGUCAACGAAAGCAAGGGGUGACACGGCAACUACGAGCGGAUACGGGUUUUACGAAAACAUAUGAUGCGAUGCACAUGAUGCUAUGAGAUGAGAUGCAUGACAAGAACAAAAUGCAAAACAAAAGACACAAACCCAACCACGAAGGAAAAAUAACAUAUCGCAUCUCCGAAAAAGGCAAGAGUUGGAGUUACGAAUAUGGAAAGUUGCAUCCGGGGCGUUACACUCUUGUCCCUCUUGCAGACCCUAAGGAGUGGGAGAAACAGAAUGGUUAUAAGGUGUAUCCACCGGUGUUCACCAAACAGUUGGGUAGACCCAAGAAAAACAGGAAGAAGACCCCAGAGGAGAAGAUCAAGAAUGGUGUUAGGGUUUUGAACAAAAAAGGUGCUACAAUGCACUGCUCUAUUUGUGGGAGAGCUGAUCACAACAGAAAGGGGCAUUACAGAUGGCAGGAGGCUCUCAUUGAAGAAGGUGUAGAGGUUGUUGAUGAGAACUAUGAUGACCCAACAUUUCUUCAGGUGAAUGAAUUUUACUGAACUUAAAUUCAGUUCACUGAAUGCAUUUCACUGCAUUUUACUGAAAUUGUUGUACUUAUCUGAAUUUGUGCAGAACAUCUUCCCUAACCAGUCAGAUCCUUUACUGGAUCCAAUUGACACACCAUUCAGUAUGGUCUACAACAUGACUCAGAGAGAGAUUUCAAGAAGAGCUCCUCAGAGGGUUCAUGGGCCACUACCUGAGCAAUCUUCAUUUGUUGCUGUUGGUGCUGCAAUACCUCAGCCAAGGGUUACUACAGAAAUGAACAUAGAUAGACAGAUAAGGGCAACCAUAGUAGCUGACAGAGAAGGAUCUGGUAGGGGAAGAGGUAAAAAAAGACAAAGAAAUCCAGAUGCAGUUGCAGCCAGAGGAGCAACCACAGAAAGAGGAAGAGGGUCAAAUGUAGGUAGAGGAAGAGGAGCAAAUGCAAAUGCAGGGAGAGGAAGAGGACCAAAUGAAAAUGCAGGGAGAGGAAGAGGAGCAAAUGCAAAUGCAGGGAGAGGAAGAGCAAAUGCAAAUGUAGGGAGAGGAAGAGCAAAUGCAAAUGAAGGUAGUGGAGAAGGUCCAUUUGCAGGGAUAGGAGAAGCAGCAUAUGCUUGGAGAGGAGGAUCAAUACCAUCUGCAGGGAUAGGAGAAGCAGCAUUUGCAAAUCCAUAUGCUUGGAGAGGAGGAUCAAUACCAUCUGCAGGGAUAGAAGAAGCAGAAAAUGCAAAUCCAUAUGCUUGGACAGGAGGAGCAAUACCAUUUGCAGGGAGAGGAGGAGCAGCAAAUGCAAAUCCACAUGCUUAGAGAGGAGGAGCAAUACCUGUUGCAGGGAGAGGCAGAGGAAAUGUUCCAUAUGCAGGAUGGAGAUGGCUUCUAUUUGGAGAUCAGAGGACAAUUCCUGAUCUCAAUGCUCCUACUGAUUUCAUGGCACCACAUCAGUGAAUUGGUGCCAGUUAUUGUCUGCCAUACUUUUUGUUAAGGCCUACAGUAAUUUAAAUUAUGGACAUGCCUUUUUUGAUAGGCAAACAGUGGCUUAUAUUGCCUAUUUUUUGAUGGCAAACAGUGGCAUUCGUUGCCCUUUUUGUAACUAAAUUUGAUGAUGAUGCAUUUUAGUGAUCUAGUUUAAGUUGGAAUUAGAAGAUGCAGCAUUAGUUAAGUGAUUUAGUUAACUGCAUAUGCAGAUAACUGAAUUUAGUUAAGUGAUUUAGUUAACUGAAUACUGUUGUUGUUUUGGAGUUCAGUUAAGUGAUCCAUUUCUGCUGUUUGUUAACUGAAUAUUGCUGUUGUUUUGGAGUUCAGUUAAGUGAUUUAGUUAACUGCAUAUGCAGAUAAGUGCACAUGUAGUUCACUGAAGAAAAUUGUUGUUGUUAACUGAAUUUUGUUGCUUUUAACUGAAAAAAGCUUUAAAAAAUGUUUUGGAGUGAAUACUGCUGUUGUUAACUGAAUACUGAUAUGUUUUGUAGUGAAUACUGUUGUUGUUAAUUAAAAAAAUCCAAAAAAAAUGUUUGUCCUGGGUAUCAAACCCUGGACCCUUUGUUUAAUAAGUUGAGCUCCCUACCAGUGCGCUAGUACUAGUGAUCUUGCUAGAUACUCAUUGCGCCGCUUGUUAUAGUGAUCUUGCUAGUACUAGUGCUUAUCAAAGCGAUGAUGUUCCCUCUUCCACUCCUAUUAAGAGGCCACCACCCACCGCGCACCGUCCCCACUCACCACUUGCGUUUCACGAUGCCUCGGGCUCUACGCUCCCCACCUCCCACCCCACCACAAGAAAACCCUUGCCGGCCAUCUCGACGCCGCCGCCGACGCCAUGGACAACCACCCUGCAUGGCAGAGGAUGGUCGACGAGCUGGCAGGCGACGACUAGGUCGCACGCGCGGAGCUCCAGGAGAUAGGCAGGUGGUUCCCAAGCAUCGACAUGCUUAGGUACCACGCGCAUGCCCUCAUCGACGCGAUGACAGACGACGAGAAGAUGCGCGCUCUCGUGGACGGCCCAGGUACCCCUCUGGCCAACAUCUUCCGUUUCGCAAUGGCGGAGACGCGCUCCGACGAUCCGCAGAAGCGCUCGUGAUGGUGGAUCUACAGGUCUGCCAUCAUGCGGGAGCCGCAGCCGGAUCCGAACCGCGUGUGGUCGAGGAUGCAGCGUGUCCACGACGUGGUUGUGGCCCUGCCUAUGCCGGCACCCCUCGUCCACAUCAACGACGACGAUGUCUCUCUGUCGUCCGACUCGGAGUACUGCAAGGUGGACUCGGACAACGACUUGGGGUACAGAGGGGAUUCGGACUCCUCUAAAUCGUAUGCCUCGUCUGACGAUGUGACGCCCGGAUAAUUAAGCUACAGUAAUCCCCGCUAAUGAUGCCACGUCACCUCGGUUACUGUGGAUAAACUCGCAUUAGUUCGGAACCUAGUUCGAAUUUCAAAUUCAAAAUCGAGCAAACAAUAAAAGUUUUCAAAUAUUAAGAUUUAAAUGUUCGGAGUGAACCAAAUAAUACAUAGGUAAUUAUGGUGGAGAAACCAAACUUUGAUAAAAUGUUUAUAGGCCCUAAAACAAUUAAAACAAUAGUGAAAACAAUUAUUUAAAUACCUUUUUUUAAUUAAUAAAAUGUCAAACUAAUUUAUUUGAGGAUUAGACUUUUUGUGACUAUGGACUAAGUUGAAAUACUAAAUUAGAUGCUACGUGUGUAUUUUAAUAAAACUAAAAUAAUAGGAAAAGGAACAAAACAGAAAAAAAAUAAAAAGGAAGAACCCCCCUCCCCCUGGGCCGAAUGGCCCAGCUAGCCAGCAGGCCAUCAGGCCAAAAGGUCCAGCCGGCCGGAUCCCACUCCCCACUCCCCUUAUCCACUCGAGCAACCGAACCCUAGCCCCCACGCACCCCACUCCCCCCCUGCUCGCUCCUCUCCCCAUCCCACGACCCGAUCNNNNNNNNNNNNNNNNNNNNNNNNNNNNNNNNNNNNNNNNNNNNNNNNNNNNNNNNNNNNNNNNNNNNNNNNNNNNNNNNNNNNNNNNNNNNNNNNNNNNNNNNNNNNNNNNNNNNNNNNNNNNNNNNNNNNNNNNNNNNNNNNNNNNNNNNNNNNNNNNNNNNNNNNNNNNNNNNNNNNNNNNNNNNNNNNNNNNNNNNNNNNNNNNNNNNNNNNNNNNNNNNNNNNNNNNNNNNNNNNNNNNNNNNNNNNNNNNNNNNNNNNNNNNNNNNNNNNNNNNNNNNNNNNNNNNNNNNNNNNNNNNNNNNNNNNNNNNNNNNNNNNNNNNNNNNNNNNNNNNNNNNNNNNNNNNNNNNNNNNNNNNNNNNNNNNNNNNNNNNNNNNNNNNNNNNNNNNNNNNNNNNNNNNNNNNNNNNNNNNNNNNNNNNNNNNNNNNNNNNNNNNNNNNNNNNNNNNNNNNNNNNNNNNNNNNNNNNNNNNNNNNNNNNNNNNNNNNNNNNNNNNNNNNNNNNNNNNNNNNNNNNNNNNNNNNNNNNNNNNNNNNNNNNNNNNNNNNNNNNNNNNNNNNNNNNNNNNNNNNNNNNNNNNNNNNNNNNNNNNNNNNNNNNNNNNNNNNNNNNNNNNNNNNNNNNNNNNNNNNNNNNNNNNNNNNNNNNNNNNNNNNNNNNNNNNNNNNNNNNNNNNNNNNNNNNNNNNNNNNNNNNNNNNNNNNNNNNNNNNNNNNNNNNNNNNNNNNNNNNNNNNNNNNNNNNNNNNNNNNNNNNNNNNNNNNNNNNNNNNNNNNNNNNNNNNNNNNNNNNNNNNNNNNNNNNNNNNNNNNNNNNNNNNNNCACGCCCCAGAACAAAAAAAAAA